rnacentral:rRNA from 1 species
UCCGAAGGGGGCUAUCGUUGUUCGGAUUUAUUGGGCGUAAAGGGCGCGUAGGCUGUUUAGUAAGUUGAAGGUAAAAUCCCUAAGCUUAACUUAGGAACCGCUUUCAAAACUGCUAAACUAGAGGUAGGUAGAGGAUAACAGAAUUCCUAGUGUAGAGGUGAAAUUCUUAGAUAUUAGGAGGAAUGCCGAAGGUGAAAACAGUUAUCUGGGCCUUACCUGACGCUGAGGCGCGAAAGUGUGGGGAGAAAACAGG